rnacentral:rRNA from 1 species
AGUGAACGCUGGCGGUAGGCCUAACACAUGCAAGUCGAACGGCAGCACAGUAAGAGCUUGCUCUUACGGGUGGCGAGUGGCGGACGGGUGAGGAAUACAUCGGAAUCUACUUUUUCGUGGGGGAUAACGUAGGGAAACUUACGCUAAUACCGCAUACGACCUACGGGUGAAAGCAGGGGAUCUUCUGACCUUGCGCGAUUGAAUGAGCCGAUGUCGGAUUAGCUAGUUGGCGGGGUAAAGGCCCACCAAGGCGACGAUCCGUAGCUGGUCUGAGAGGAUGAUCAGCCACACUGGAACUGAGACACGGUCCAGACUCCUACGGGAGGCAGCAGUGGGGAAUAUUGGACAAUGGGGGCAAGCCUGAUCCAGCCAUACCGAGUGGGUGAAGAAGGCCUUCGGGUUGUAAAGCCCUUUUGUUGGGAAAGAAAAGCAGCAGGUUAAUACCCCGCUGUUCUGACGGUACCCAAAGAAUAAGCACCGGCUAACUUCGUG